rnacentral:rRNA from 1 species
AGAGUUUGAUCCUGGCUCAGGAUGAACGCUAGCGGCAGGCCUACACAUGCAAGUCGAGGGGCAGCACGAGUAGCAAUACUUGGUGGCGACCGGCGCACGGGUGAGUAACGCGUAUGCAACCUACCUUUAACUGGGAGAUAGCCCGAAGAAAUUCGGAUUAAUACCCCAUAUUGUUAUGAAAUCGCAUGAUUUUAUAUCCAAAGCUCCGGCGGUUAAAGAUGGGCAUGCGUGCCAUUAGCUAGUUGGUGAGGUAACGGCUCACCAAGGCAACGAUGGUUAGGGGGUCUGAGAGGAUGAUCCCCCACACUGGUACUGAGACACGGACCAGACUCCUACGGGAGGCAGCAGUGAGGAAUAUUGGGCAAUGGGCGCAAGCCUGACCCAGCCAUGCCGCGUGAAGGAUGAAUGCCCUACGGGUUGUAAACUUCUUUUAUACGGGACGAACCACUCCGACGUGUCGGAGUCUGACGGUACCGUAAGAAUAAGCAUCGGCUAACUCCGUGCCAGCAGCCGCGGUAAUACGGAGGAUGCAAGCGUUAUCCGGAUUUAUUUGUUUAAAGGGUGCGUAGGCGGGAUAGUAGUCAGUGGUGAAAGCCUGCGGCUCAACCGUAGAAUUGCCGUUGAUACUGUUAUCCUUGAGUCCAGUUGAGGUGAGCGGAAUGUGUAAUGUAGCGGUGAAAUGCUUAGAUAUUACACAGAACACCAAUUGCGUAGGCAGCUCACUAAGCUGAAACUGACGCUGAGGCACGAAAGCGUGGGGAGCGAACAGGAUUAGAUACCCUGGUAGUCCACGCCGUAAACGAUGAUCACUCGCUGUUGGCGAUACACAGUCAGCGGCCAAGCAAAAGCAUUAAGUGAUCCACCUGGGGAGUACGACCGCAAGGUUGAAACUCAAAGGAAUUGACGGGGGCCCGCACAAGCGGAGGAACAUGUGGUUUAAUUCGAUGAUACGCGAGGAACCUUACCUGGGCUUGAAUGCAGAACGACAGACUGGGAAACUGGUCCUUCUUCGGACGGUCUGCAAGGUGCUGCAUGGUUGUCGUCAGCUCGUGCCGUGAGGUGUCGGGUUAAGUCCCAUAACGAGCGCAACCCCUAUCGUUAGUUGCCAGCGGAUAAUGCCGGGGACUCUAACGAAACUGCCGGUGUAAACCGUGAGGAAGGUGGGGAUGACGUCAAAUCAGCACGGCCCUUACGUCCAGGGCUACACACGUGUUACAAUGGCCGGUACAAAGGGCAGCUACCUGGUGACAGGAUGCUAAUCUCUAAAACCGGUCCUAGUUCGGAUUGAAGUCUGCAACUCGACUUCAUGAAGCUGGAUUCGCUAGUAAUCGCGCAUCAGCCACGGCGCGGUGGAUACGUUCCCGGGCCUUGUACACACCGCCCGUCAAGCCAUGGGAGCUUGGGGUACCUAAAGUACGUAACCACAAGGAGCGUCCUAGGGUAAAACAGGUGACUGGGGCUAAGUCGUAACAAGGUA